rnacentral:lncRNA from 1 species
ACCGGAAUGGCUUCCUCUUCUCCCUGCUUCCAGCACUCCCGUGUUUAUGACAGGUCGGGUAGGGGAGCUUCAAGCAGGCCAGGAGGAGCAUAGAACAUGGACCUAGGUGUCCCCAAGGAGACAUUCUCAUACAGUAACUGCCCUCCCUGCACAUAGAGGACUACCCCUGCUAGCUCACCCCAGCCUUCGACAUUCUCCUACCAGACUCCACGUCCCCAGAUCAGCCUGUCACGUUGCGGGAAGGCAGCUCAAAGGCCACGGAGGGUUCCGGGUUGGAUUUUACCACACACAGGCACUGCACGGUGUCUCUGGCCGCUGCACAGUGCGAUUCCAGAAGGAUUAUGGGAGCAACUGCAAGAUUAAAAGCAAGGCUAAAGUAA